rnacentral:lncRNA from 1 species
UUUUUUUAUUGUGAGGUUGGUUGAGAUUCUCGCCUUAUAAUUUAGCGAGGCCACGCGGUUGGAAUCGGUAUAUUAUGGUCAGGUCUCGAAGCCAGCCUUACUCGAACAAUUGUAAAGAAACUACUCGACAGAAAUAUUGCUUAUUUGCUAAUUAUUCUUAUUGUACAUUUAAAUAACUAAAUACUUUGAAUAAACAUUUUUUUUACUCUUUAUAGUCAGUCGAACAGCUGAAUUGCAGCCCUAGAUCAGAGGUGCCAUGUACGUAGAAUGACAGGGAAUUAUGUUCAAUAAUAAAUCAGGAUUGAAAUGCACGGCUCAGAGAAAAAAUAAUGUAUUGCGGACUACCAGAACUGGCUGUUCCAGUCAUGAGCAACCGAAUGAAUCACGGAGGAACAAUUUUGCUGGAAUUUGAGCUCUUAAUGAGUCAAAUUUUAUCAUUUCAGUGUCGCAGUUACUUCAAUGACAUUCAAGCAAGUAGUAGUUCCCACAUUCUUUGUUACUCAGCAGCUGCAUUUAUCGUAAAACGUUCUAAAAGAUCAAUUCUGAGAGAUCUUAUAAAAGUAAUUUAAUAAGAUUCGUACACGUACCGUGAUCGAGCCACAGAAUUUUGUGGAAUUUCCAUUUUGGAGUACGCCUGAAAACUACAUAUAUGCCACACAGUUAUUCUCAACGACUUCUUCCUAGUUGCUUUGUUAAAGGACCUUGGAAAAAAUGCGAAAAAGAUAAUUUUUGAAACUUUUUGUCGUAUUUAUCAAUACAUCAGCAUCAGGUGUACUCGAACUAAAGAAGAGCUAUCGGCGAAUAUCUAUCAGCGGCUAAAAUGGAUGAUGUAUGUAGAAGAUAAAAUGAUGGUAGUGGACGGUAAGCUGGCGAUGUAUCACGAAAAUUUAAAGCGAUUGCGUCGUCAUUUGGAGGUACUUCUGCAAAUACAUUUGGUACCGCAGAUGGAUGUUAGUGCUGUCAGCGAAGUUGCUAGAAGGCGUACAUUUUCGCAAGCAUUUUUGGUGUUGGCGAGUAAUCUCGCUUGUCAAUUAUUAACGGUACACAAUGAGGAAAUUGCCAGAUGUAGAGAAUUUCAGAGUAAAUUCGACGGGAAUUUUUUUGGACAGCCUAUUUCCGGGUUUGGAGCAUGUUCCGCCUAGUUUUGCUACUCAAGCGCCAACUAUUUUCGAUAAUGAAUAGCCUAAGCUGACAGCGGACGAUAUGGAAUCACUAAAAAUUAAAUUACCCAAUCUCACGGAUUCCAUUUCAACGCCCGAUUUAAAUAGCAUUUGAUAUCACGCAAUUUUUCCUCUCUAAGAGUCUCACGUCAGUAACUACCAGUGAAGAAAAUAAUAUUAACAAAAUAAUUGAAGAAGACGAUAGUACAACUUUAAUGUCUGUUGAUGUCUCAGCUACCAAGAAAACAAGCGAACACAUUUCUCUGAGGUUUGGCUUUGAAUCAGAAACAGAAUUUAAAAAAAUAACCCAGCAAAACGGUGCCGAAUAAACAAGUGGAGGUUGGUUAUUCGUAAUCCUCCAUAUCUCGAAGUACGAAGUACCAACAAUAACUACUACUGGCAUGAGCUCUUAAGUAAAUCGUGCAGAAAAAGUUUCUGCGGAAAUUUGAGCUCUUAUAUGAGUUAAUUUUAGAAUUUGAGAUGCAGGUCAUGUAACAUUAACAUUCUUAUAUAAAAUAAUCGAAAUUUUUUUUUCCGAUCCGAUGCCGGCUAACAAUUUAUUGUUAGCUACAGUUUGGGUAAAAUUUUUGAAAAUUUUAUCCCAAAUUAGACCAGAUCAUUAGUUUUAUAAAAUAUUAUUUUUAUUAUCCGUGCUAAUUUAUUUCUGAUCGGAUGCCGACUAACAAUUUAUUGUUAGCUAUAAUUUGGGUAAAAUUUUUGAAAUUUUUUCCCAAAUUAGGCCAGAUCAUUAGUUUUAAAUAGAUUUUAAAAUAAUAAUUUUAAGUCUGAAUAAGAAUAUAUCGAUCGGAUGCCGGCUUACACUUUUAAAUGAGUUGUAAUAUGGAUAAAAUUUUUUUAUUUUAUUCCAUGUUAGGCCAGAUCGUUAUUUUUAAAUGAAUUCUAUAUUAAAAAUUAGAUAAGUUUAUAUAUAAGAGUAUAUUAUAACGAUCAGAUGCCAGCUUAUAUUUUCAUAUAAGUUAUAAUUUGGAUAAAAUUAUUACUAAUUUUAUCCCAAAUUAGGCCAGAUCAUUAGUUUUAUAAAAUAUUAUUUUUAUUAUCCGUGCUAAUUUAUUUCUGAUCGGAUGCCGACUAACAAUUUAUUGUUAGCUAUAAUUUGGGUAAAAUUUUUGAAAUUUUUUCCCAAAUUAGGCCAGAUCAUUAGUUUUAAAUAGAUUUUAAAAUAAUAAUUUUAAGUCUGAAUAAGAAUAUAUCGAUCGGAUGCCGGCUUAGACUUUUAAAUGAGUUGUAAUAUAGAUAAAAUUUUUUUAUUUUAUUCCAUGUUAGGCCAGAUCGUUAUUUUUAAAUGAAUUCUAUAUUAAAAAUUAGAUAAGUUUAUAUAUAAGAGUAUAUUAUAACGAUCAGAUGCCAGCUUAUAUUUUCAUAUAAGUUAUAAUUUGGAUAAAAUUAUUACUAAUUUUAUCCCAAAUUAGGCCAGAUCAUUAGUUUUAUAAAAUAUUAUUUUUAUUAUCCGUGCUAAUUUAUUUCUGAUCGGAUGCCGGCUAACAAUUUAUUUUUAGCUAUAAUUUGGGUAAAAUUUUUGAAAUUUUUUCCCAAAUUAGGCCAGAUCAUUAGUUUUAAAUAGAUUUUAAAAUGAUAAUUUUAAGACUGAAUAAGAAUAUAUCGAUCGGAUGCCGGCUUACACUUUUAAGUGAGCUGUAAUAUGGAUAAAUUUUUUUUAUUUUAUUCCUUGUUAGGCCAGAUCGUUAUUUUUAAAUGAAUUCUAUAUUAAAAAUUAGAUAAGUUUAUAUAUUAGAGUAAAUUAUAACGAUCGCAUGCCAGCUUAUAUUUUCAUGUAAGUUAUAAUUUGGAUAAAAUUAUUACUAAUUUUAUGUCAAAUUAGGCCAGAUCAUUAGUAUUAAUUAAAUAAAUUUUAUUUGAAACAAAAUUUAUGUUAGAAUAUAUUGUAUUGAUCAGAUGCCGGUUUACAUUUUUAUGUAAAAUAUAAUUUGUGAAUAAUUUAUUAAAUUAUCUCAAAUUAGGUCAGGUCAUUAAAUUUAAAUUAAUUUUAUAUUAUAAAUAUUGUGUUUUUUAUUUGUCAGAGCAGAUAUGAAGAGUAGCACGAUUAUUAUUCUAUAUUUUAAAUGUUCAUUUUUUAAUUAAUUUUUUUUUAUAAGUAACGGAGUCUGCCUUAUCUUUGUAGAUAAUGCAGUUAUCUUUAUAUGAAGAUCGCGCUACUCAUCAUUUCUCCUUAAAUAUUUAUUUUUCUCGCCGUCAGAUGUCAUCAAUAGUGGUGGCAUCUAAAAAGAACAUGGCGGCGUCCAUACCAAAAUUCUACUACCGUUACCCCUUAAACCAGAAG